rnacentral:misc_RNA from 1 species
CGUCAACAAGCGUUCACACCGCCCCAAACACGUACUUGAACAAAGCAGUCUUGUGCAACCAAUCCAUCGUUUCUCCCGCUUGCUACUGGCGAAGACUUCAGCGUGGAGCCUAGCGCGCCUUUCCAGUCUUCCCUACGGUGUGAUUGGAAGCCGACAAGGGUGGUAAAAGGAAAAGCCAUGACGCUGGAGCACUGUGCCGCGGCAGCGCUGUAUAUUAGCGCCUGCAAGCGCGAGCACGCGCAAAUCUGUGAUGCCUUCGUGCAGGCCCUGGACAGGGAUGCCAAGGCUGCUGCACUUGGUCAAGGCACCGUCCCGCUCAACGAUAUCGACGUCUGCUGCGUCGCGGAGGUGAUCCGCACGCUCAGCGAUGAGAGUCAGCUUCGCGUGCUGGUGCUGGAGGAGAACUCGUUUGGCCUGCCCGGCGUGACGGCGUUGAUGGAGGCCAUCGAAGCCAACCCAAACCACAUCCGCGAGCUGCGCCUUGGCAAGAACAACCUCAAGGACCAGGCGGCAGUGGUCAUUGGACACACGCUGUCCCGCAGCGGGUGCGGCUUGAAGGUGUUGGACCUGUCCGAAAACAACAUCACGAAGCUGGGCGUCAUUCCGAUUGCGGCAGCGCUGCAGCAGCCCUUUUGCGAUAUCGUGGAGCUCAGUUUCCACAACAACAAGAUCGGGUGCGACGCCGCCUCGUACCUCGGUCAGGCGCUGCGUGCAGCCCCGAAGCUGAAGCACCUUCAUCUCGGCUACAAUGCUCUGCGCGACAACGGAGCCGCGCAGAUCGCUCGCAGCGUCCCCCACGCGGCGUGCCUCUCCACUUUGGACCUUACCGCCAACCGCAUCAGUCGCGAGGGUGGUGAGGAGCUGGUGCGGGCCCUCAUGACCCCUACAUGCACGGUGCAGCGCCUAAAUCUGCGCCACAACCAGCUGGAUAGCGAGACUAUUGUGCUCUUCGCCGACGUUAUUGCCCACAACACGUCUCUCAUCCAGCUUUUCCUAGGCUUCAUGAACCCCUCCCCUGAGGCGGCAGCGGCUGUCCUGUCGGCCAUCCCGCAGAACCACGCGCUGCUCCUGCUGGACAUCUACGGGUGGAAGCUGAACCCAAAGAACACCCUCGCGCUUAUUCAGGCCGUGCAGGAGAAGAACACCACCCUCGCUGCGCUCGUCACAGAUGCCUGCGAGUUCAUUGCACCGCAGGUGGAUGAGGGCAAUUUGAUGCGGGAGGAGAGGCACGACCUGCACCCCAUCUACGUGGGGCCUAACGACCGCGAUGCUUACCUGGCCACGAAGAGUCUGCGCCGCUACUCGCGCGCGCAGUCGCGCCGGCAGUCCCGCACAGCUUCUCGUGUGCAGUCCCGCACAGCCUCUCGUGCACAGUCGCGCACGAGGGCUGAUGGCCAGCCCGCCAGUCGCACCGGCUCGUCGCACCGUCGCAGCGAGCGCGGCGGAAGCCGCCCGGCCAGCAUCUCGUCGCGCGCUGUGAGCCCGGCGGAGCAGGAGCAGGCGCUGCGGUCUCAGUGUAGCACCCCUCGCCACAGUCGGCGCAAAAGCGGCAGCCCACGCCACCCGCGCCACCGCCACGGCGAGAGUGCGCCAACCGACCCUGCCGCAGCCACAAGUGCUGGCGCGCUGCUCCGAACGCCGCGCUCUGUGCCGGCGUCUACCCGCUCCGCAUCUCGCUCUUCCAGAGCCGCAGCAGGGCAUCUGGUCCCCGUGACGUCCAGGAGUGUCGACGAGGACAUCGAUGUGCUGAUUGAUGAGUUGCAAGACACCCCAGGUGACCCGCGCACAACGAAGGUCCUCAAGACAAUCAUCAAGUCACUGCAUGAAUCGAUCAGGCAGCAGCGCACGCAGAUCCAGGUGCUGAAAACCCGCGUGGAGGCGCUCGAGGCUCGCCGCGAGUGCCACUGCGCCGGCCGUGGGGGCAGCAACAGCAGGUCCGGCACCAGCCCUCAGCGAAGCGGCAGUGCGGGAAACCCGACGCAUUUGACUGGACCUCUUGCGAAGGGCGGCGCCGCCGCAGCGAGCCAGAGCGGCACCAAGGGGUCGUCUUACCACCGCGUGAACAGCAAGGCGGGGAUGAUUAGCUACGGAAAGAUCACCGCCACUGCGGACGCCAACGGCGACGGAUUAUACGCGCAUUAUGGUCAUCAGAAUCACCAGGCACAGCACAACCCCGCUGCCAACUCCUUUCAGCGCUCCAUGAGUCGCAUGAGCCAAAACACGAGCAUCACGGUUAUGGAGCGGUGCACGACGCCGCACGUUUCGCAGGAUGUACCCCCGGACAUCGCGCACCCGAACGACGAGUCUGGCGAACACCACCCGGAGGGGGUGGAGCUGCAGCGAUCCGCAGCUAUUCAGAGCUUUCCACCUCGCAUAGAGCCGUCGCCAUCGCAGGACCUCAACCCACCGCUUCGCAAGUCUGUCUCGCACGCCUUCUGAACCAGCGCGAGCAAAGGCGAAUGCAUGGGCGCGUGUGUUUACAAAGCCGGGGCCAUUGAUAGGCAUUGAAGCGUCAACGAUCCUACCACCAUCACCCUCUCUGUCUCGCUGUCCCCGUCUCUGGUCGGGAUGCCACCGGCCCGCGGUGGUACACAACUCAGCUUUCUCACUACGGCGCUGCCGCCCCUCUCCACUCCGUUUUCCCAUCCUGCGCUUCUCUCCUGCGUUCCGUGAAUCUUCAUGUGCGUGUCUCUCUCUGCAGUGCUACUGUACAUCCGUGUUGUGAAGUGGUGCCUUCACGCUCUUCUUGCCUCCUCUCCCCCCCUUCCGCUCUCUGUGCUGCUGAGCUCGUUUUUCUUUCUCUUCCACUGCCCCUUCCAUCCUGUGAUACACUGCUAAGGGUGCAGCUGACGGCCACGGCAUGCGCUGUUCUCCCCACGCUCUCUUCUCUUUCCUCUCUCUAUUGAUCUUUACGGCGGCGGUGUCUCUCGGAGACGUGAUUAGCUCUAUCCUCGCGCGUUGCAUAGGAAGGGGCGAGUACACGUGGGGGGAGGGGUCUUAGCGUAUCGGCGUUUAGAUUCUCAGAGGGAGAAAAGCGGUUGAUGUAGAGGGGUGUGCGGUAGACUGAAGAGCGCAGACUUGGAGAGAGUAGUAGCAGCUGCCGGCACGAGAAGAAGCGAGGAGGAUGCGGCUGCCGAAAGCGAAGCGACGCCGCACACAGUGCGCAUUUCUCGUCCUUGCCUUUCUUCAGUCGCACCCCCCACACACACACAAAAAAAUUCAACAACAACGUCCUUUUGUUUUUUACUUUUUUUUUCGAAUGACGCACAACGCGGAGGCGAUAUUCUGUGAGUGCAUCUGCGUGCGUGCGCUCGGUGUUGCUUCUGCCAUCUCUUGUGUGUCUCUCUUACUCUCUUUGCAUGCUCUGCUGAGGCACACAGGAGAGGCGCAGGCAGGAGAUGGGAGUUGCAGAGAUUAGAUUUCGUUUUCUUUUCCCCUUUUCGGAUGUAUCUCUCAGGUCGUGCUGCACCACCACCUACUUCUGUGUGUUAUGCUUGGCUUCUUUGUCAGCUCGCUCGCUUUCGUUGUGCUGCUGUGCUUGUGGGACUGCUUUCCCUCUCUCUCGUUUCUGAAGGACAGGUGGGGGAGGAGGUGCGUGUACGUGCGCUUUAGUCGUUGUCAUGGUUGCUGCGAGCUCUACUCGCUCCCCUCUUCUCGUUCUCUCGUUUCGCUCGAGGUGGAAAAGGCGAGUUUUCAGAGGACUGGGCGAAAGGCGACGGUUGCGCCUCCGCUGUAGCUGGCGCAUGCGUUUCCUUUGCGUGUGUGUGUGUGUGGAUGGGAUGACUCGAUGCCAGAGAAAGAGUGCGGGGUGAGGUGAGGGGAAGACGACCUUGAUACGUAUGGGCGCGCGUGUGUAUGUGUGGGCGGGGCGGAGCGGGGGCGAGGCUGAUGAGCUCCGCACAUGAGGAUGCGCUUCUGAAGUGCCGCACUGCCAUCUUGUUUUCUCUGCCCUUCUUCGUCUUUCUUUCCGUCUUCUUUUCCUUUUGUUUCUGUACUAGAGCUUCUUCGCCCGUGCUGACGUGCGGGGGAAUGCGUUCGCUUUUUUUUCGCCUGUCGUAUUGUUUUCCUCUUGUGUUUUCGCUUCCUCCUCCUGUUCUCUAGAAGCCCCACUCUCUACCCACCCCUUUGAUAUCCGCCUCUAUCUAUCUCUCUGUGUGCGUGUGCCGGUCGGUUCGAAUGCUAGUUUUUUUUUUUCUGUUUCAUGUGUGUGUGUGUGUUUUACUGGCUCCUCCUUCAUACUCCUGUUCCAGUUUCUUGCUUCAUCGCUUUCCUUGAUGGAUAGAAUGCGCUGCUCUCUCUCCUCCACUCUCUUCCUCUCUCUCUCUCCCAACCCUUUCGCACUCACUCGUGCGCAACGUCACGUGCAUGCCGGCACACACCGACCCUCUUUGAAGGCGGGCUACGCAUGUUGGAAUGCAUCCCUUCUUACAUGGCGAUGCUUAGAGCUCCAGCAGCGCAGUGACGAGGAAGCGUUGCAGCAGAAAGAGCAGGCGAAUACAAGGGGACAGCAAACGGCAAGAAGAGGAGGUGCUAAGGUGCUUCGUGUGUCUUACCAGCUUGGGAGGGGGGCGAGGGGUUGGAGAUUGGGUGGGGACGGGGGAGUGGGCAGAGGAACGCGACAUGGAGGUAUUUCCUCGCUCUUCUUCGGUACGGUCACGGUACGCGAUUUAGAUUUUUUCUUGGAUACACACACACACACACACACAAUGGACGCGCGCUCCACAAACGAUUCGUCUGUGUAUGCUGUCUAUGUGUGUGUGUGUGUGUGUGUCUGCGUGUGUGUAUGAGUGUGUACGUGUACGUGUGUAUGUUAGUUCAUCCUGUUCCAUGUUUCCUUUUUUUGUGAGGGGGGUUUCUUUGUUUUCCCCUCUUUUUUUUUUAGCCGCACCCGCUUCUCCUCAACGUACGCGUGCGUGUGUAUGCGUGCGCGCUCAACCCGACGUGAGAAGUGUAAGCAGGAACAAACGUUGAAAAACUAAAACAGAAAGGGUAAAAGAGCAACCAAACUGAAAGCCACGCGCGAAUUCUGGCGGUCUCCUGAUGGAUGCAGUGUAGUGGCGAUCGUCUCGACGGUGACUCACCUGAUGUGCAUGUCGGAGACGUCGGAUGUACUCGUGUUGGAGUUGCGCAGCGAAGCGAAGGGGUGUUGCAUGCUUGGCUCCGGCAACACGCACUCAGUUCUCCGCGUGUCUUCGUGCCUUGAGAGCAUCGAGGAGGAGGAUGCGACUGGUUGCACGGCUUUAG